rnacentral:rRNA from 1 species
UUCGCAAUGCCCGAAAGGGUGACGAAGCGACGCCGCGUGGGUGAGGAAGGCCCUCGGGUUGUAAAGCCCUGUCAGGAGUUAAGAAAUGUAAGUGCGCUAAUAUCGCAUUUAUUUGACGAAGGCUCCAAAGGAAGUCACGGCUAACUCUGUGCCAGCAGCCGCGGUAAUACAGAGGUGGCAAGCGUUGUUCGGAAUUAUUGGGCGUAAAGAGCACAUAGGUGGGUUUGUAAGUCAGAUGUGAAAGCCUUCUGUUCAACGGAAGAAUUGCAUCUGAAACUGCGAGUCUUGAGUGUAGGAGGGGAGAAUGGAACUUCUGGUGGAGCGGUGAAAUGCGUAGAUAUCAGAAGGAACGCCGGCGGCGAAAGCGAUUCUCUGGCCUAUUACUGACACUCAGUGUGCGAAAGCUAGGGGAGCAAACGGGAUUAGAUACCCCGGUAGUCCUAGCCGUAAACGAUGGGCACUAAGUAGAGGGGUUUUA